rnacentral:lncRNA from 1 species
AGAGUCCAUUGAUCCAAAUCAGCAGAACAGGAAAAAAAAUGUUGGAACCAAACUGGUUGGUUCAAAGAGAGAUUGCUGCUUGGGUUUAAAAUUCUUGGAUAAGUAACUGUUGAAGGACUGAUUAAUAUUGAAGUCCCUUUAAGGCAUCUUCAGAUCAUUUGUUUUGAUCAGUCCAGUUUCUGGUCUUUAGGUUUGUUUAUGGAUUGCUUGGAGUUUGGGGGUCUCACCAAAUUUGGUUCUACUCUUGUCUGGUGAAUCUAGCUUUAACUGGAGACAUUAACUUCAAUUUCUCUGAUGAACUGCCUGCAGAUUUAUUUGAUGUUUGAAUGGCUGACUGCAGAAGUGUGUACUAUCUUCAGAACAGAUGAUGGAUGCUGAAACCAACUAUGACUCAUCAGCUGAUGCGUUUCUGAUCUUUGACAGCUACUCUUAUGUUCCUCUUGUUCAGGUGACUCAUAAUGAGUAUAUGAUGUUGCAAGCCAGCUGGUGCAUAUGCUAUGGAUGACUGUCUCUCUUCUGGAACCCAUUCAAAUACUCUGGUUUUUUCGCUUUGGUUCCACACUUAUUUCAGUUCACUGCAACUGUGCAUUAUCAAAAUUACUAAUUUUUCUGCACUCAAGAGCUGAUCAAGAGACAAGGGCGUGUUUCCUCUUAUCAAUCAUCUUAUGGCCUGGGAUGUGUAACACCUGAAACAAAAAAAAAAAGAGAAAGAGUUUUGACGGAAGAAAAGAAAGGAAAAAAUAAAAAUAAAAAUAAAAUAAAAAUAAUACUCAUCUCUGCAUCUGGGCAUAAGAAGAAAGGCAUGGGAGGUGCAAAGUGAUGGAUUUUGACCUUCAGGAGUUUAGAUCCAAGACCAACACAGGAUCUUCAACCAUGGCAGCGGCUAGGAUUUCUGCUGAGAUGAAAAGUAAGAAGGAAUAGACCGACAGCAUCUAGAGAGUUCUCCGUCCUAUUUAUCCAACCGAAUAAUGGGUAGAAGAUCACGUCAAAACCAAUCCAUUAGUCUGACCCAUUAAGAAGCAACACAAAUAAAGACUGGCCAAUUUACAUUUUAUUUUUCAAGCAUUUCAUUUUCAUUUCAUUCACUGUAACUGCAUAUAAAUAGACUGCAACCGUGAGAUAUGGAAAAAUAAAAUUGAAUGGAUAAUUUUUUCUCCUAAAAUUUCUCUUCUUCUCCUCCUCAGAUCUAUCUCCCGGAUCACCUCUCUUCUUUGAAUACUCCUUCAUUCUCUAAUUUUCUCCCUCAGAUCUUUCUGAAACUCUUCCACAACUCUUAACCCUACCUCUCAGAAUUCAAACCCAAGCCCUUUCUCUUCACUCAUUGGCCUAGAUCUGCACUAAUCUGGGAACAACAGCUACAAAAUGCUUACCAGAGGACAUUGGAAUGUUACAAUUUUGGUAUCAGAGCUUGGAUAGAGCCUUGAACCUAGGGCAUGGAGUCCUACUACAACCAAAUUACUUCUUCCAGUGGUACUGCAACAGAUCAGAUCAAUAGAAAAAAUGAUUGAAGAUAGGCAGCAGACCGACCAAUCCAAUUAAAUAGGCUACUGAUGCAUCAAGUAAUCCCCAAAUUUUUUAAAUCUGCUUCCAGUAGAGACAGUGGUAACUGAUAAGGAAAUGUAUCAAGGUCUCUUUGUAGUGAUUACUAUUUCAAUCAGUUAGGAACAGCAAUCUGGCCUCAUUAGAUCAUCAUCAGCCAUCUUGAUUGAAUUUACUGUUACCAGGAGACUAUAAAAAUUUUCUAACCAAGUAGUUUCAAAACAGUGCAAAAUAGGGAUCAAAAAUAGAAACCGAUCCAAACACUAUAAUCAAUUUAAUUGGAGUGAAGUAGAAGAAGACGAAAAAAUGGCAGAAGGAACCAGAUUGAAGGAAAUCAGUGAAAACCUUGGAAUUUUAGAAGAAAAAAUGCAAACACUCUCCAAUGAAUGCUACAGUCAUAUUGAAGAUAAGUUACCGCAAGUAACAAGUGAAUAUAACACUGAAAUAGGAGUGUUAGCAAGAUAGUUGGAUGAGAUGCAGAUAGAGAGAAAAUAGAGAUAUGAAGCUUUGCAAAUAGAGGCAGCGAGGAGAUAUGAGAUUAUGAUGUAGAAACAAAAUCACAGGCAUGAGCAGUUGCUGAAGCUAAUUUCACCACAGCCAUCAGUUUCCCAGCCCACUCCUUCAUUUACUGCAAACAACACCCCAUUAUCCAUAAAAAAUGAUAGAAUAAAUACAAUGGAGCAACUUGACACUAGUUCUUCAGUCAUAGCAGCCGAGGAUCGGGGCAAAGGGAUACUGCCCGUGCCAUACCAUCAUUUGGACAGGUUGGGAGAUACCCAGAAUAGAACCCAAUUUCACUUACCUUACCCAAAGCUGGAAUUUUUCACUUUCAGUGGAGAAGAACUCAGAGAAUGGAGCAGUAAAUGUGAGCAAUACUUCAAAGUAUAUCAAAUUCCUAUUACCUAUUGGGUAGAAAUAGCCACAAUGCACUUCAUAGGAAAGGCACACAGGUGGAAGGAAGGAUACCUAAUAGAUAAACUAAAUCUGAAUUGAGAAGAGCUAGUAGAAGCAAUGAACAGAAGAUUUGACAAUGACAGUAUGAAGCAGCUGAUCAGAGAAUUUAAUAAAUUAGUACAAACAAGUAUUGUUGAGAUAUAUCAAGAGAAAUUUGAAGAUAUGAGAGCUAGAAUAUUGCAUUACAAUCCAGCAUUAACUGAAAGAUACUUUAUAGAGAGUUAUAUCAGUGGAUUAAAGGAAGAGCUGAUACCAUACAUUAAUUUAUCUCAUCCUACAACGCUGGAGGAAGUAUAUGAGCAAGUUAAAUUAUAUGAACAGGUACUGUUUAUGAUGUGAAAAAGAAGCAAGAUGAAUCACAGAACAAUCACUACAUAGCCAGCAAGCUAUCAUAAUCCUAAAUCUACAACAUAAAGAGAGGGUAUAAAACCACAAUUUAUCAAAAACUCAAACUUACCUCAGAAAGACGGUAAGCAGCAGUGGGAACAGAGAAGGGCUGCCUGGCUUUGUUUUAAAUGUGGGGAUAAAUAUUACUCAGACCAUCAGUUUUCACAGAGAACAAACUAUUCCAUCAGUGCCAUAAUAGAAGCAGGUGAGGUAUUUGAUGAACAAUUAUUGCAUGAAGAAGAAGAAGAAGAGGAGACUAUGGUGGAGGAGGAAAAAGAAAAAGAAAUAGAAACUGCUGUGUAUGCCUUAGUGGGAUAGAAUCAGAAUGAAACUAUUAAUAUACAAGGAGAGGCUAGUAAUAAAACAGUAGUCAUCUUAAUUGAUACUGGAAACACUCAUAAUUUCAUUAAUUAUCAGGUGGUCAAGGAAGUGAAAGCUAUUCUCACUCCAGCAACCCCACUAAUAGUAACAGUAACAAAUGGACACAAAGUUUUGAGCAAACUUAAAUGUGUUAACUUCAAGUGGACUAUGCAGGGAGAACAAUAUCAAGCUGAUCUAAGAGUGAUUAGAUUGGAUGGAUCAAGUAUAAUCCUGAGAAUAGAUUGGUUGAGAGCCUAUGGCAAGAUAACUUUUGAUUACCAGGAUAAUGUAGUCAUCUUCACUAAAGAAGAAAAACAAAUGAUACUAAAAGGCAUUACAGAAGGAUCUAAACUGAAGUUUACUAAGACUAAACUCCAAAUGAUCACUGCCACAUAGUGGUAUAAGUCCGGAUUGAAGGGUAACUAUUGUGCUGUAGGUCACCUAGUGAACUUUGAAGAGGACAAAGCCAAAGCAGAGAUACCCACUUGAGUGAAAAAGGUGUUGGAACAGUAUGCAGAUGUGUUUCAAGAACCCAAAGGAUUGUUACCCAGCAGACCACAAGAUCACAGCAUACCACUGUUAUCAGAUACCAAUCCUAUCAAUAUCAGACUUUACAGGUACAUGUUUGAACAGAAGAAUGACAUAGAAAGAUAAAUAUAGGAAAUGCUCAAGUCUACCAUCAUUUAGCCUAGUACCAGUCCAUAUGCAUCAUUUGUGCUUUUAGUAAAAAAAAAUAAUAGUUGAAAGUUUUGUGUGGAUUACAGGCAGCUCAAUAAGGCAACGGUGAAGGACAAAUAUCCUAGUCCCUUAAUAGAUGAUCUCUUAGAUAAACUUGAAGGUCUUAGUACUUCUCUGAGAUAGACCUGAGAUCAGGAUACCAUCAAGUAAGAAUGAAUCCAGAAGAUGUACAUAAGACAGCAUUCAGAACUCACAUGGGGCAUUAUGAGUUCCUGGUUAUGUCCUUUGGGUUAACCAAUGCUUCUGCCAUAUUUCAAGCCAUCAUAAAUGAGGUAUUUUCUACUUACCUUAGGAAAUUUGUAUUAGUUUUUUUUGAUGAUAUUCUUGUAUACAGUCAGACUAUAGAGGAGCAUGUGGAACACCUCAAAGAAGUUCUGAAUCUAUUAAGGAAGAACCAGCUGUAUGCCAAAAGGUCCAAAUAUUUUUUUGGGCAGCAACAGGUGGAAUAUUUGGGGCAUAUUAUUUCAAAAGAAGGAGUGGCAACUGAUCCAGAAAAAGUGACAGCCAUGAAAAGGUAGCCCACUCCAUCUACAUUGAAGGAGCUGAGAGGAUUUCUGAGACUCACAGGAUACUAUAGAAGAUUUAUAAAAGAAUAUGGGGCAAUCAGCAAACCCUUAACUUAGCUUCUUAAGGACAAUUUCCAUUGGGAUGAAACAACUCAAGAAGCAUUUGAGGGGCUAAAGGAGGCAAUGUCAACAGCUCCAGUCUUAGCAAUGCCUAAUUAUUCUUUAUCUUUUACCUUAGAAGUGGAUGCUAGUGGACAUAGGAUUGGAGCAAUACUCACACAAUAGGGAAGACCUAUAGCUUGCCUCAGCAAAGGGUUAAGUGAAAGGCACAAAGCACUUUCAACAUAUGAAAAAGAAUUCUUAGCCAUUUUGAUGGCUGCAUCAAAAUGGAAGCAUUACAUUAGCCCCCGACCAUUCAUCAUCAAAAUAGACCAUCAGAGUCUUAAAUACUUAUUGGAAUAGAAAAUAACCACUGCAGCCCAGCAAAGAGGGAUGUUGAAACUCAUGGGAUUGGAUUAUAUAAUACACUAUAAAAAAGAGAAAGAGAAUUAGGUUGCAGAUGCACUAUCAAGAUGGGGUUUUGAAGAAGAAAAGGUGCAGGCCAUUAUAGCAGUGAUAACUACCUGGAGCAUAGAAAUUGCCAACAGCUAUGAGGGGGACCAGCAGGUCCAACAGGUCAUAGCAGAGAUACUCAUAAAAUCAAAGUCAUAAGCUGAAUAUACUUAUAAGCAAGGGGUGCUUAAGUACAAGGGAAGGAUUUACAUUGAAAAAAUAGGGGAACUAGGACAGAAACUCCUAGAAUUGAUGCAUGCAUCAGCCUUGAGAGGAUAUUUUGGAAUGAAUUAUACUUACAAAAGGAUCAAGCAAUUAUUUUAUUGGCCUGGAAUGAAAUAGCAGGUGGAAAAAAAGGUGAAAGAAUGUGAAAUUUGUAUCAAAAACAAAAUAGAUGGUACUCCAUAUGCAGGACUCUUACAACCCUUACAAAUUUUCACUUAAAUAUGGCAAGAAAUUAGAUGGAUUUCAUAGAAUCACUAUCCAAAUCUGAAGAGAAAGAUACUAUACUAGUGGUGGUUGACCGACUCACCAAAUAUGCUCAUUUCAUUCUUUUAACUUAUCCCUAUUCAGCACAGAAUGUAGCAAGACCCUUCCUAGAUGUAAUAUACAAAUUACAUAGAAUGCCACAAGAAAUUAUAUCAGAUAGAGAUAAGAUAUUCAUCAGUCAAGUAUGGCAAGACUUAUUCAGAUUGAUGGGGGUCAAGCUGCAUCUAAGCACUGCUUACCAUCCACAAAUAGAUGGUAAAAUCGAGAGGGUAAACCGAUAUUUGGAGAUUUAUUUGUGCUGCUUGUGUUUUCAAAAUCUCCACAGGUGGCUCAAAUGGUUAUCUCUGGCUGAGUGGUGGUACAAUACCAACCACCACUCCUUCUUAGAGAUGACACCCUAUCAGGUUUUAUAUGGUCACCCACCCCUUCUGUAUCCGGUGGUCAACCUGAACAUGGGCAAACAAAGUACAGUAGAAAAUUGAAACAAAGAAAGAAAUAAAAUGCUACAAAUAUUGAGAGAUAGACUCAAAGAGGUUCAGAAUCGCAUGAAACAAAAUACAGACAAGAAAAGAGUGGACAAAGAAUACAAAGAAAGAGAAAUAGUAUAUCUUAAGCUCCAACCUUACCGACAGAGCACAGUGGCAAUCCGUAAGAAUCUUAAGCUUACCUCUCAGUACUAUGGGCCUUUUAAGAUAUUAAAAAAAAUUGGCCCUAUAGCUUAUAAGCUCGAAUUUUUCGAAGGAUUUAAAAUAUACCUUGUCUUCCAUGUAUCCCUACUUAAGCGAGGGAUUCAGAAAUCAUGGCAAGCAUCACCAACAGUACCCCUCACAGGAGAAGACGGACAACUAUUAGCUCAAUCAGAAAAGAUUCUGGAUCAAAAAAUGAUCCGCAGGAGAAACAUGGCAGCUACCCAAGUAUUAAUCAAAUUGAAUAACCUCAGCGAAGAAGAAGCCACAUGAGAAGAUUAUUGGGUUCUUAAGAGCCAGUUCCCUUAGUUUGAUCUUUGAGGAUAAGGAUUCUUUGGAGGAGGGGAUGCAACACUUGAAACAAAAGAAAAAGAGAGUGUUUUGAUAGAAGAAAAGAAAGGAGCAAAUAAAAAUAAAAAUGAAAUAAAAAUAAUACUUAUCUCUGUGUCUGGGCAUUAGAAGAAAGGUAUGGGAGGUGCAAGGUGAUGGAUUUUGACCUUCAGGAGCUUAGAUCCAAGACCAACACAGGAUCUUCAACCAUGGCAGGGGCUAAGGUUACUGCUGAGAUGAGAAGGAAGGAGGAAU